GAUGAACGCUAGCUACAGGCUUAACACAUGCAAGUCGAGGGGUAACGACAGCGAAAGCUUGCUUUUGCUGGGCGACGACCGGCGAAUGGGUGAGUAACGCGUAUCCAACCUGCCGCAAAGUAGGGCACAGCCUUGCGAAAGUAAGAUUAAUGCCCUAUGUGCUGUGAUGAUGACAUCAGAAUUGCAGUAAAGGUUCACCGCUUUGCGAUGGGGAUGCGUCUGAUUAGGUUGUUGGCGGGGUAACGGCCCACCAAGCCCGCGAUCAGUAGGGGUUCUGAGAGGAAGGUCCCCCACAUUGGGAACUGAGACACGGUCCAAAACUCCUACGGGAGGCAGCAGUGAGGAAUAUUGGGUCAAAUGGGCGAGAGCCUGAACCAGCCAAGUAGCGUGCGGGACGAAGGCCCUAUGGGUUGUAAACCGCUUUUAUAAGGGAUAAAGUGAGUCUCGUGAGACUUUUUGCAUGUACCUUAUGAAUAAGGACCGGCUAAUUCCGUGCCAGCAG
rnacentral:rRNA from 1 species